CACACUCGACCUCUACAUCUGAAGGAAGGCCGUAAAAUACGUCCCGCGUGACAGCAGGGAGCGGCAUCCUGCUAAUCUGAAAUGUUGGUCCCCGAAGGGCCACUCAGCAGGUAAAUGAAUCCAAUAACCACUCAAUGCAUCAUACAAUACAAUGACAACAUCAUACAUGUCAUUCAUGCAUCCAGGCAUACUUACCUUGAAGCCAUGCAUAUACCAUCAUACAUCUUCAUCACAAUCAUAACACAUACAUGUCAUCAUGCCACAAGUGAUCAUCAUUAUAUCAUAUAUGUAAGUCAUCAUGCCAUAAGUGAUCAUCAUCAUAUCAUAUAUGCAAGUCAUCAUGCCAUAGGUGAUCAUCAUCAUAUCAUAUAUGCAAGUCAUCAUGCCAUAGGUGAUCAUCAUCAUAUCAUGUCAUAUAUGCAUGAUUCAAUUUCUACUUUUAAUUUUCAAUUCGAUCACCACAUCACUCUUUCUCGGGAUCGUCAAUUUUAUCCCAUACUUUACACUUGCACCCCAUCUUGGCAUCGAGAGAAAACUUCCGGCAUUUAGCCAUUUAAGGCCACCGGGCAUCCAGCACCCCCACAUUCUGGGCAUCUCGCAUCCCAACUGGCAUCACGAGGCAUCCCCUCAGGCAAAAACCUCCGAGGCUUCCGGCACCCAACCAUUCCAAGCAUUCUGAUACUCCCAAGGCCAUUCGGCCAUGCAUCUCUAUACAUUCCGGGCAUCCGACACCCCCCAUCCCGGGCAUCUCGCAUCCCAACUGGCAUCACGAGGCAUCCUCUCGGGCAAAAACCUCUGAGGCUUCCGGCACCCAACCAUUCCGGGCAUCCUGAUACUCCCAGGGUCAUCAGGCCAUGUAUCUCUAUACAUUCCGGACAUCCGGCACCCCCCAUCCCGGGCAUCCUGAUACUCCCAGGGCAUUAUCAUCCGCCACAAACAGUUUCCUCAUUUGUCAUUAUUCAUGUUUACCAACUUAGGUCUCAACUCAGCAUGGCACAUGAUGUAAUGGCAACAAAAUCACUUUCAUCCUUUGAUUUAUACAUGUAUCAUCAGUCAUCAUCAUACAUGCAGCAAGUAGGGGUGUCAGGAACCGAACCGAAAAUCGAACCGAACCGAACCGAAAAAAUCGGUUUUUUCGGUUCGGUUCGGUUCUUAUUAAAAACCGAAAUCACUUUUAUCGGUUCGGUUUUUAUCGGUUAAUCGAACCGAACCGAACCAUGAACCGAUCAAAUCUCUUUUAUCGGUUCGGUUUAUUCUCUCCCGUCCCGACUCUAGGUUUUAUUCUCUCCCGACUCUAGCCCUCUCCUCUUGUCUCGUGUCUCCUCUUGGUCGGCUCGGAGGUGCAACGCGCGACGGCGGCAGGGACGGCGACUACGACAGCGACGGCAACCGAUUGAGGGACAGAGCCCCUCUUCCUUCUACGAUGGUGCGCGCUCUACUCUGGACUGGGGGGCGGCCAAAGUCUCUCCUUCGUCACUUUACACGCUGUUUGGCUAAGACCAGACAAAGAACCACGGUCCGAAGCAAAUUUCUCGUCGUUUUAGCCUUAUACACCCCAGGAGACAAAAACCUCCUCCUCCUCGUCUUCUGCUACCUUGGGAAACCGCAGCGCUACCCCUUUCUCUCUUUCUCUCGUUAAGGUGACUACUUUUCUCUCGAAUCUUGGUUGAUAGUGAUUCUCGCGUGCAAUUCGUGCGCAUCGGGUGUGUCAGAGGGUCGUCAGGUUGAUGAAUUUUGUGGGUGGAGUUCGGCUUGACAUUCAGCUGGAUUGAUCGGAUGAACUGGGCUCUACUUUCGUUUUGUAAAAAUUGCUUUUUGGUCCCCUGGGCGGGGAGUUGAUUUUGGAAUUAUGGGAUUUGAGUAUGCUGGCUAUGCUUGUGGUUUCAUCCGAUGUCGAUGAUCUCUUGCUUGGUCGAUUCCAGUGUGGGAAGCGAAAAGGGUUGGUUUUUCCCGUUAUUGAUUUCAGGGUAGUGUAUGGUGUCUGUAAAUUGAGUUGCUGAGCAAAACUUCAGUUGGGUUUUGCGUGUUUUAUUUAUUACGACUGUCGAAAUGUUGCCUUGAUUCUUUCAUCUCAGCUAAAAUGGCUGAUUGAGAUGCUAGAUUAUCUAUAUAGCAGCUUUUAAUGUUGUGAUUGUUUUUCCCCUAGUGGAAAGAGCCAUAAUUGAGCUUUAAGUUCUAGAUAUUGCGGAGUAGGUCGUGAAUCAAGAAUAUGUUUUUCUAGUCAUGCUAGUCUUUAGUGAUUUCAAGGAUAAUCAUAUUAGUUUACUCUGUUAAACAAAGAACCAGAGACAUUGAGUUUUCUCUGAAUAUAUCCAUGAUGUUUGUGCAGCUACACUUUGGCGAUAGUGGAGCGCCAAAUCAACUGGAAAUUGAUCACUGCAUGCUGCACACCAGGUGCUUGAUGAAAUUCCCGAGAAGGGUCUUGCUGUUCUUUGUGGCGGAGAGCUUCCUUACUUGUUCGGUUUGGUCCCAUGUCUUCUUAGCAGGAAUUCAACGAUGGGUCUUGUGGUUUCUGCAUCGAGAUAAUUCUUUUUAUCUUCGUAGUUGGUUGAAAUGAUAACCCAAGUGAAGCUAUUUAUCCCACAUGCUCUUUUCACUUUUCCCUUGUUGAACUUUUUUGGGUGUUCCCCUUUUGAACACCUUUUGCUUUCUUAUGCUCUGAUAUCAUGUUCCGGAAAGAUGUCGAUCGACAUGCCUUUUUCCUCUUCUAUGAUUUUGAUGGAGAAGAAAAGCAUGAAGGUCUUCUCUCUUCAAAUUAAAAAUCGAGGUUUCUAUGUUGAGUUGGACUCUGGUUGAAUCUAAGAAAAAGUUGGUGUUGUGAAAUGUUGAGGCAAGUUAUCAAUAUUUUGAGUUUACAGAAAAAAAAAAAAAACCGAAAACCAAAGACCAAAAGUUGAAAACCGAAAAACCGAACCGAACCGAAAUUUCGGUUUCGGUUCGAAGAAUUUUUCUAUCGGUUCGGUUUGGUUCGGUUUUUCAAAAAAACCGAACCGAACCGAACCGUUUACACUCCUAGCAGCAAGACACAAUCAUUCAUAAAAAUAAAAUUUAUGGAAUUCGUACAAUUUAAAAUAGUCCAUUUAUCAUGCCUUUUUGAAAUUCAUUUAAAUCCCAGCUUACACCAUUUUUGAAAAUAUUUAAAUUAAAUGUCCCUAUGAUUCUCAAAAAUCAUGAAAUUAAGGCACGUGAUAGACAAGACAAUAAGAUAAUGAUUUCAUGAAAAACACAUGGCCAAUAGAGUUCCACACAAAAGAUAUCAUUCACACAAAUACAGCAUGCAAUUUCGGAUAAAAACAGAAUGCACAGUUUUUGAAAUAAUUCAAUUAAAAUACCCGAACGACCUCCGAAAAUUAUAAAAUUUUACCAGGUUAUAGUAAGACACUAAAGUAGACUUUUCAUGAAGACUUCUAGGCCAGAUUCGUUUUAGAUAAUUUCCUAUAGUCGUCCGAAGCUUCUGGUUCUCAUACCAAAACGUCCAGUGUAGUCAUCUCCGAAAUACCGAGUUUUUACCCACUUAUACUUCUUCAUUUCCUAUGAAAUUUGGAUAUGUUUUACUUCAAGAGGUACCCUACAACUUUAAUUAAGGGAUCUAAGUCAAAUUUCCAAAGAACAGUCACCAUAUGGGUCCAUGAAGUCUCAGGUGUCUAGUACUACGUCUCCAGAUUUACCGUCUUCAAGAGUAAGUCGAUUCACUAGGUUAUACUUGUUCAUUUUACUUCAAAUUUGAGUAUGUUAGUAUUUAAGAUGUUAUCUACAAGUUUCAUGAAUAAGCCGAAGAGAGAUUCUUGAUAAAAAUCAACAUGCAACCACAGAUCUACAAAAAGGUCAGCAAAAUCGUUCCAGAUCUAGUGUCUCCGUAGGAUGAGAGUUUUACCCCUUAAAUCUCCACCAUUUUGCACCAAAUUUUAGUAUGUUGUAGUUUAAGAUGUUGGCUACAACUUUCAUGAAGGAUUCAAAGUCAAAAUCGAACUCAAAACAUGCAUGCAAGCUCUCACAAGAUUCUGGCUCAGGUGGUUCAUGCGAAAACAGCAACAUCACUCAAGAACAAGUCAUUCUAGCUUCGGUUUCUCCCUCCUAAUUGAUAUUGCUAGUAUGAGUACCUAGAGGGGGGUGAAUAGGUAUAUAAAGCAUUUUUCUCAAUCAAUUGCACAAUACUAGACAGUUGGAGGAAACGAUAAUCAAAGUAAGACUGAGGGAAGAGAAAAUUGAACACGCGGUUUAUAGUGGUUCAGCUUAUAUCAAGCCUACGUCCACUCUUCUUCACUGACAGCCUAUUGACUGGAUUCCACUAUGAACAAGAGAGAGGUUACAACACAGCUUUGCCUUGAUUCCACAGUGUAGAUGUUCUACCACACCUCCUCAAGAUUUCUCACAAAUAUAGACUCUCUCUUUCGUAUACAAGUAUUCGCUCAAAGGAUUUGUCUAAACAAAAAGGAGCUUCAGACUUUGGAAUUCUUCUAUCGCGCACACCUUGAACAACUAAGACAGUCUUCCUUAUAUACUCCUUUAUGCCAUCAUACCCGUUGGCACUUACCAAAGGAAUUUCUCCAAUCUACCCGUUAGACGGAAUCAAUUAGGAAGAUUGUCCAAGCUAUAAAAGGAACGUGUUGAUAGCCCAUCAAUCAUGUUCGCCCAUACAAUCAGGAUCUCGGUUUCCAUAAGCAGAACCUUCUAAUAAUAUUUAGGCAAUCACCGGAUCUUCAAUUUAUCGAGUCAAUCUUCGAUCAAUCAAAGAACUCCGUUAUGUCUUCUCCAGCCACGAGAUCUUCUCCAGAUAAUAAGGUUAAAUCCUCAACGGAACAUCCAGUUCUGGAUAACCUUUCUACAACGGAUUAGAGACUGUCAAUGAGGAUAGACUUUGAGUUUUGAGUCUGGCUGUCCGGAGGUCUUCAGACUUUAAACAGCAGAGUCUGCAAGCCUUCAGACUAGACUGAUAGAAACGUUUUGUCAACUUCAAAACACUUCAAGAAGAUUUCUCCAACAAUCUCCCCAUUUUUUAUGGUGACAAAACUUUCAUGCAGAUUUGGAUAUCUUUGACCUGCAAAACAUUUCUCAAACACAUAUGCAUAUCUUAUAGAGGUAAAUGGCUAACAGAAUAACACUAGAAUCUGCAACCACAGAAAAUAGGUUAGUCCAGUAUAUGAUGAAGCCAUCCAUAAGAUAUCAAUAUUAGUUAAUAGAAGCAAUCAAGUCCAAGUUUAGUUCAGUUCUCAUCCAGACACAAAACAAAGUCAAACAGGUUCAAACCACAAACCACAAAUCAACAAACAAUUAAAAGUUUAAUGAAUGAAAAGUUUUUGAUCAAAUCUUGCAUCUCUCCCCCUUUUGUCAUCAUUAAAAAUGAUGAUAUGAAGUUAAGAUUGCUUAGGAACGCGGAUAAGCUGGAAAUCUUCCAUAGACUGAACGAUGCCUUCCAGCCUUUUAAAGUCUUCCUUUAGAUGUGCAAUCUCCUCACUCUUGGCAUUGGCCUGAUUCUGAACAGAGAGGGCUUGCAUUUUAUCAUUCAAUGAACAGGAAGAAGCUUGACCUUCAUUCUUCAAGCUUUGAACUUCGCAUCCCAAGGCAUAAAUUUGACCUCGCAUCUCCAAGAGAAUAUCCAUGAUUCUGCGAAAAUCUGCUCCAUUAUCAGUCUGAGUAAUUGCUUCAGCUCGAUCUGAUGGAGUGAAUGCAGACGAUGGUAGAUCGGCAUAAUCGCGCAGGUUUGGCGAUGAAACUUCAUGACCUUCUUCUGGAAACUGAGAUGCAUAAACAUCCUCUGGGUCUGCUGGUGAGCAACUAACUCCUUCACUUGCAUCAGGACAUGAAGACUUCACUCCUUUCUCCUGAUCUCCCCCUGUUUCCAUGCCUACAGGUGGAGAAGAGUGUUCCUCAGGUUCUUCUUCUGCUCUUCUUUCUUCUUCUGGUCUUUCCUCCUCUGUUUCUUUUUCAGCUUCUAUUUCUUCUUCUUCCUUCUCCUCUGCUUCUUUCGUCAUUUGAUCCGAUUCUUUCUGUGGAACAGGACGACUUAAAUUCUUCAAAGCCAAUGCAGAGAUGGUGAUGUCUUCCUCAUCAUCUUCAUCCUCAACGAGGAGAGCUCUUCUUCUCUUGGAUGGAGCAACCAUGGGCUCCUUCCCUUUUCUUUUAGCUGCAGAAGAGAUUUGAUGAGAUUUUGCAGGAGUCUUCUCCUUGAAUUUCUCCAACUCCUUGCUCAGUUCCUUCAGACGCAUUUUGGUCACCAUUUUCAGUCCUACCACCAUAUGAUCGCAUGGUCGAACACAAAAGAUUUGUGGAGGCUGAAUAUUCAGAUGUCUGAAUAACUUCGUAACAAGGCUUGGGUAAGGAAGUUGACCUCUGUCCUUCAUCAUUGCUCUAUACAUGUGAAACAUCACAGUGUGAGGGAGAGAAAACCUUUUUCCAAAGAGAAUGGCAUACAUCAGCUUGGCCUCUGAACUUGAAACAUCAGUCUUGGAAGUUGAUUUCGGUCGGAGGCAAUUAAUCACAAUCUUGUGAAGCAAGAUGUUGAAUGCACCCAUCCUUAAAUAGGUGAUCUUUUCAUCUGUUCUCCUGUCCUUCACUAGUUCAAGAGUGGCCCGAGCAAUGGAAACUUUGAUUGGUUGAUAUCUUCCUCUUUCGACUUCUAACACAUCUGCCAGCAUAUUCAUAUCCACAACAUAAUCUUGGUCUUUAACGCUGAACGAGAAUCUAUUCGCAUCCAAAAAGCUUAGAUUUGAAUAGAAAUAUGCAAUUAAUUCAGCAUAGGCCUCUGUAGAGUCAAAGCAGAACUUUUCAAGUUGAAGAUAACUGAACUUUUCCCUCAAGUUCAUAUUCACAGCAUCCAGAAAAUCAAAAUCCACACUCCUAGGGUUUAUUACCCCCAUGCUUCAGCAAUUUCGAGUACAGAUCCUUUUGCUCCUUUGAUCUGAACAAAUCUCCCAUUUUUCCUUGAUUAUCAACCGCAACACCCAUUUUCAAUUGGAAUUGACUGUAUAAUUUAUCAUCAUCAUUCCCAUCUAUAGGAUUCGGCCCCCAGUCACGAGGAUCACUUGGGAUAUUUGCAAGGGUUUCCUCAGCCACCCAUUUUCGAGCAAUUCCCAAACUUUCCAUUUUUUUCAGAAAGAUAUAUUCGUUCCCAUGUCCUUUGUCUUUAAGAAAAUCAUCAAUGUAGUUCAAAGGAGUACGAAUUCCUUUUAGGGCACGAUAUAAUUGGUAAAUAUAAGCGGGCUUUUGAACUCUUACAGGGUCUGCAUCCUCGAUGAUUUCUUCCUGUUGUUGAUGAUCAACGCCUUGAGGACUAGAUGGAGGAGAAUGACGCUGUUGAGAAUGUUGUGGGCUCGCUUGCUGUUCUGGAGUCACUUCAUCUUCAGUAAGAUCGAAGUGCGUAGGCCCCUCACUCAUCCGCCGUGGUCCCCUGCUUGCAAUUCUCGAAGACUUUCUUGAAGAUGACAUCUUUCUCAGUUUUUGGAAGAUUCCUUGCUUGACUUUCCCAGGAAAGAUGACAACUUUUUUAGGAUUAAACGAAGAAGACAAACGGGAAUGGAGGAUCGAUGCUUUCUAGGGUUUUUGAGAGAAAAGUGAAGAGGAAUCGACAGUUCACGAUCAGUUAAAAAGAGGGAUAAACGAACCGUCAUAAAGGAAAUAAAAAUAUGCCUUUUCAAAAUAACUUUUCAAGAUGAGAUUCAAGAGAGAAAGACUUACAGUCUGACGGACGUACCAAGACUGUCUUUCAGAUAAACUCUUGUAAGUCUGAGUCUGAAAGUCUUUAGACUUUGAUAUCCUCAUACCUCAAAAUGUUGAGUCUGGAACGUAUAGACUCAAAUUGAUUUUUCUCCAAAGGCUUUGUGAAUAUAUCCGCCAGUUGAUUCUUUGAGUCAACAAAUUGAAUUGAAACAUCUCCAUUUUGAACAUGGUCUCUAAUAAAGUGAUGUCGAAUCUCUAUAUGCUUUGCUCUUGAGUGGAGAAUUGGAUUUUUGGUGAGGUUGAUAGCGCUGGUGUUGUCGCAAUUAAUCUCCGUGCAUGAGUCUUCAAUUUCAAAGUCUCUUAGCUGUUGUUUUAUCCAUAGAAUUUGCGAACAGCAGCUUCCCAGGGUUACAUACUCUGCUUCUGUUGUUGAAAGAGACACAUUGCUUUGUUUCCUUGAAAACCAAGACACUGUCCUGCUUCCAAGCAAUUUGCAGGUUCUCGAAGUGCUCUUUCUAUCAACUCUGCAACCGGCAAAAUCUGCGUCUGAAUAUCCCAGAAGAUUAAAGUCUCCCUUCUUAGGAUACCAAAGACCAAUGCUUGAUGAUGAAGCAACGUAUUUAAUGAUGCGUUUCGCAGCACUGAGAUGGGAUUCUCUAGGAUCUGAUUGAAACCUAGCACAGAUGCAAACACUCAACAAAAUGUCAGGUCUAGAAGCAGUAAGAUAAAGAAGUGAACCAAUGAUGCUCCUGUACAGCUUUUGAUCAACUUUCUUCCCUUCUUCAUCUUUGUCUAUCUUCAAAGAACUUGACAUCGGUAUGUCGGUCUUUUUGCACUUUUCCAGUCCAAAUCUUUUGACAAGAUCAUUAACAUAUUUUUCUUGAUAAAUAAAAGUUCAUUCCUUCAAUUGUUUUACUUGAAGACCAAGAAAGAAUGUUAACUCUCCCAUCAUACUCAUUUCAAAUUCAUCCUGCAUAGACUUAGAAAAUAUCUUGCACAGAUUUUCAUUAGAAGAUCCGAAAAUAAUGUCAUCCACAUAUAUUUGAACAAGUAAGAAACUUUUGUUCUCCUUUUUAAUAAAUAAAGCCGUAUCUACUUUACCUUUGACAAAACCAUUUUGUAUUAAAAACUUACUUAAUCUGUCGUACCAAGCUCGAGGUGCUUGCUUUAAACCAUACAAAGCCUUUUUUAGUCUGAAGACUGAGUCUGGUUUCUUUGGGUCUUCAAACCCUGGUGGUUGUUCCACAUAAACUUCCUCUUGGAUAAAUCCAUUUAGGAAUGCGCUUUUGACGUCCAUUUGGAAUAACCUGAAAUUCUUAUAAUAAGCAAACGCAAGUAACAGUCGAAUAGCUUCUAACCUUGCUACUGGAGCGUAAGUCUCAUCAUAGUCUAUUCCUUCUUCUUGCGUAUAUCCCUUGGCCACGAGUCUCGCUUUGUUUCGUACGACUUUUCCUUUCUCAUUCAUCUUGUUUCUGAACACCCAUUUAGCUCCAAUAACAGUUUUACCUUUUGGUUUGGAUGUCAAUUCCUAGACAUCAUUAAUGCUGAACUGUCUGAGCUCUUCUUGCAUAGCUUCAAUCCAGCUUUCAUCAGAUAAAGCUUCUUCUAUGCUUUUUGGUUCUAUUUCAGAAACGAGAGCCACAGCACUAGACUCUUCUCGCCUUUUGGAUCUGGUGCGAAUUCCUUCAUUAAUUUCGCCGAUUAUAAGAUCUUUGGGAUGACUGGACUUAUGCUUCCAGUUACUUGUUGAUCUGUCUGGUUGAUGAUCUCUUUCUUUGUUUGGAUCUUCACAAACAUCCUGAAGCUGGUUUUCCAGAGUCUGAGAUACUUCUUGAGUUGUAAGCUUUGGAAGGUCUGGAGCAGGUUCAGACUCUUCUUGAUGAGUCUGACUUGAUUCAUCUUGCGUUGAGUCUUGAAAUUUGACAUUCAUUGACUCCUCAACAGACUGGCUCUUCUUGUUAUAGACUCUGAAGGCUUUGCUUGAUGUAGAAUAUCCAAGGAAGAUACCUUCAUCUGAUCUUUCUUCAAACUUACCAACUCGAUCUUUUGCAUUUUUCAAUAUAAAACAUUUGCAACCGAAUACAUGAAAGUAUGAAACAAUAGGCUUCUUAUCUUGAACAAUUCAUAAGGGGUUUUCUCUAGAAUAGGUCUUAAGAAGACUCUAUUUAUGAUAUAACAAGCUGUUGAAACAGUUUCAGCCCAAAAUCGUGAAGAAAUCUUGCUUUCAAUUAAAAAAGUUCUAGCCAUUUCCCGAAGAGAUCUGUUCUUUCUUUCCACAACUCCAUUUUGCUGAGGAGUAUAUGGAGAGGAGAACACAUGAUUGAAGCCAGAUUCAUCACAAAAUUUUGUAAAAUCUUGAUUUUCAAAUUCACCUCCAUGAUCUGUUCUUAUACUUGAGAUAACACAUCCUUUUUUCAUUUUGAACCUUUUUAGCAAACUUUUCAAAAUACGAGAAGGUUUCAAACUUACUUGCAAGGAAAUAUACCCAAGUAAAACGGGAGUAAUCGUCCACAAUUACUAGGCAAUAUUUCUUACCUCCAAUACUCUGUGUUCUGGUUGGUCCGAAGAGAUCCAUAUGCAGCAACUGUAGUACAUGAUUAGUAGAGACAUGAUUUAUUGGCUUAAAUGAAUUUCUUACCUGCUUUCCCAGAAUACAUGGAGUGCAUGGAUUAGUCUUUUGAUAAGGUAAUUUGGGUAGUCCUUGAACAAGCUGCUUUGAUGAGAUUUUGGCUAAUUGCUUCAUGUUGACAUGACCAAGCUUUCUGUGCCAUAAGCUUACUUCGUCUUGAAUUGAGAUAAAACAUUGCGAUUCAUUUGGUUUCACAUCCAGAAGAUAAAUGUUUCCAUGUCUACGACCCAUGAAAGACUGAGUAGAGUUUUUACUGAUUCCAGAACAUAUUCCUUCUUGAAAGAAGAUCUUGAAACCAGUAUCACACAAUUGACUAAUGUUGAGAAGAUUGUAAUUGAGUCCUUCCACUAAGGAAACAUUACUUAUUGUGAGAUUUCCAAUUUUCACAGUUCCAAAUCCCACAAUACUCCCUUUGCUGUUUCCUCCAAAUGAAACUUUUCCACCAUUUACUUGAGCAAUCUUUAUAAAACAAUUUGAGUCUCCUAUCAUGUGUCUUGAGCAUCCACUGUCAAGAUACCACUUUACCUUUUUUCUUGACGGUGACCUGCAUUUAAAAAAGAGUCUCAAGCUUUCUUUGGUACCCAAACUUUCUUGGGUCCUUUGGUGUUAGUAACAUAAGCAGUAUUAGCCCAUAUUCUCUUAACAGGUUUCCAAACCAUAGGACACUCUUUUUCAAAGUGAUCCGGACUGUUGCAUUUUGAACAUUUUAGAGCAUUUCUACCUACAGAUUUUACAAAAACUUUCUUGAAGUGAUGUUUGUAAACCUCUCUUGAGAGUCUUUUCUUAAUUCUUUCUUUUACUUUAGGAAAAUCAAUCAGGGGAAUUGUUUCUUCUGACAUACCUAGACCGGACUUAUUGAAGUAAGGUCUUUGUGCUGAAAGAAUUUUCUCAAGUUUUUCAGACCCUAUUGAAAAUUUCUUUGAUAUAUUUGAUAAGUCUGUUUUUAAAAAGACAUUUUCUUUUGAAAGAUUAUCUCCAUUUUCUUUAAGAUUGGAAACAGUCAAGUCUAGACUUUUAACUCUUUCUACUAAAACAUUUUCCUUUUGUUUUAGAGCUAAGUUUUCCUUUUUCAGUUCGGAAAUUCUUUUGAGAGAAAUCUUAAGACUAAAACAUAAUUCAUCAAUAUAUUUAGAAACUUUGACAGGAAUUUUAAAAUUACUUGCCUCAAAUUCACUGUCUUAGUCUGAUCCAGAGUCUGAGUCUGAUUGUGCCAUCAGACAUAGAUUGGCAUAUUCAUUAUCACUUUCUUCACACUCUGUAUCACUCUAGGUUUCGGCUUUGAGAGCUUUUUGAAAUUUUUCAGCUUUUCCUCUCUUCUUCUUCAGAAGAGGACAGUUGGGUCUGAUGUGUCCCUUUUUCUUACAUUCAAAGCAGACUACGUCUUUGUUUGGUUCCUCAUCAUCAACAGACUUGGUCUGCUGUCUUUGAAAGCUUUGUUUCUUUGAGUUGAACCUUCUUCCUUUUCUAUUCAGUUUUCUGAAUCUUCUUAUCAUGAGAGCAAGCUCCUCAUCGUCCACAUCAUCUUCAGAAUCUAUAUCAUCAAAAUCAUCAUUUGAUUUUAACGCAAUGGAUUUCUUACCUUUUUGAUCUUCAUCUUCAUUGAUCCGUUCCACUUCAUAAGACUGAAGAGUUCCAAUUAGCUCAUCGACAGAUAGUGGCAUAAUUCUUUGCGUCUCUCUUAUCGAAGUCUUUAUGUGAUUCCAAUCCCUGGAGAGUCCACGCAGUAGCUUGUUUACCUUCAUGGGAUCAAAAGUUGGUUGACCUUGAUUUUCAAGACCAUUCACAAUAUCUGUAAAACGACUAAACAUGUCAGAUAUAGAUUCUCCUGGUUUCAUUCUGAAGGCUUCGUAUUGACCGAGAAGAAUGUUGAUUCUUGUUUCCUUCACUCGAUCUGUUCCUUCAUAGGUGAUAUACAAUCUGUCCCAAACUUCUUUUGCUGUACCACAAGAAGAUAUUCUAUUAUAUUCAGUUGAUGAUAAAGCACAAUAUAAGGAGUAAAUUGCUUUUGCAUCGAGUGUUUGUCACUUGAUUAUUUCUUCCUGAGACAUUCCGCUGGUUUCAUCAGUUUCUUUUCCUCUUUCAGAGACUGAUGCAGUGGUAGGAGUAAUUCCUUUUUCUACAACGUCCCAUUCCAGAGGAUCCUUUGAUCGAAGGAAAGCUUUCAUCUUGUUCUUCCAAAUGUUGUAAUCCUUUCCAUCAAAGUAGGGUGGUCUGGUAUUGCUUUGCCCUUCCAUUAGCCCUGGUGCUAGCAUACUAGCCAUGGAUCUUUUACUACGAAGUAAAACACUUCAAAUAAAGUAAGUACACAGGCUCUGAUACCAAUUGAUAUUGCUAGUAUGAGUACCUAGAGGGAGGUGAAUAGGUAUAUAAAGAAUUUUUCUCAAUCAAUUGCAUAAUACUAGACAGUUGGAGGAAACGAUAAUCAAAAUAAGACUGAGGGAAGAGAAAAUUGAAUACGCGGUUUAUAGUGGUUCAGCUUAUAUCAAGCUUACGUCCACUCUUCUUCACUGACAGCCUAUUGACUGGAUUCCACUAUGAACAAGAGAGAGGUUACAACACAGCUUUGCCUUGAUUCCACAAUGUAGAUGUUCUACCACACCUCCUCAAGAUUUCUCACAAAUAUAGACUCUCUCUUUCGUAUACAAGUAUUCGCUCAAAGGAUUUGUCUAAACAAAAAGGAGCUUCAGACUUUGGAAUUCUUCUAUCGCGCACACCUUGAACAACUAAGACAGUCUUCCUUAUAUACUCCUUUAUGCCAUCAUACCCGUUGGCACUUACCAAAGGAAUUCCUCCAAUCUACCCGUUGGACGGAAUCAAUUAGGAAGAUUGUCCAAGCUAUAAAAGGAACGUGUUGAUAGCCCAUCAAUCAUGUUUGCCCAUACAAUCAGGAUCUCGGUUUCCAUAAGCAGAACCUUCCAAUAAUAUUUAGGCAAUCACCGGAUCUUCAAUUUAUCGAGUCAAUCUUCGAUCAAUCAAAGGACUCCGUUAUGUCUUCUCCAGCCACGAGAUCUUCUCCAGAUGAUAAGGUUAAAUCCUCAACGGAACAUCCAGUUCUGGAUAACCUUUCUACAACGGAUUAGAGACUAUCAAUAAGGAUAGACUUUGAGUCUUGAGUCUGGCUGUCCGGAGGUCUUCAGACUUUAAACAGCAGAGUCUGCAAGCCUUCAGACUAGACUAAUAGAAACGUUUUGUCAACUUCAAAACACUUCAAGAAUAUUUCUCCAACACUAAUCACCCAAAAUUCGACAUUACUCCAAACAUACAUGCAACACACGUAUGCAAGAGUAGUAAGAGGAUCCUAACUUGCCUCUAAACCGAGCUAGCGACGAGCACACGGUGGUGAACGGGCAGCAAACGGGCGGCGACAGCUCCUCCUCCUCUCAGUUCCUCUCCUCUCGGCGCCCUUCUCUCUCUCUCUCUCUCUCUCUCUCUCUGUGGCUUGGACGGAACCAACCGCCUCUCUCUCUCUCCUCCUCUUCCUUUUAUUUCCCCAAACCUUCAUCAUUGGCAAUGAUUACUUGCCACUCCAAUUGGCCAAUGCAUGCAAGUCCUCCUUGCCACUUGGCAAGGUCCAUGCAAUGGGCCGGCCACCCUCCUUCUUAGGCCUCUCUUGGGCCGGCAACAGCCCCAUCCGUGGGCCUCUAUUGGGCUGGCCAUUCGGCCCAUAAAAAAUCCCCCCUUUGGGCCGAAGGCCCAAACCUAAAUAAAAUUAAUUUUUUCUUUUUUAUUCUUUCUUCUAUAAAUUUUAAAUUUUAAAUUCCACAUGGCCAAAGUCUUGUAACAUUUUAUUUAUAGGAAUUUAAUUUAUGAGGUGCAUAGCCAAGCAUAGAUUAUUCUCAUUAAUUUAUCCUAUAGUCCUAAUUUCAAAAAUUCAUAAACACAAGCAUAUCACUUAGCCUUAAGAGAAAACUAAUGGCUAAAGCAUAAACCAUAGGUAAUUUCAUUACCUAAUUAUAAGCUUUAAUACACCUUAGAGCUUGUCUUGAAUUUUUGGGAUGCCACAUUUGUAUUUAGGUUUCCCCCAGAAAAAAGGUCCACUGUAGUGUUGCAUGGUUAACAUUGAGAUGUUACAUUACAUGUAGGAAAGAAAAUCAUAUGAAAGACAUAUUAGUACAAAAGUUAUUAUCGAAGUUCUUGAAUAAAGUCUUGCAAAUGUAUCAUAAUUUCUGUUGAAAGAUCUACUCUGGCAUCAAUUGUCUGCUCUAGAGUCGAUUAUCCCUAUAAUAUCAUCUCUACUUUCCAGUAUAAGUCCAUCAAUUUCUCUUGUCAAGUGACCUUAACUUUUGCCAAUCUAUUUCUUAGAAAUUCUAAUUAAAGUUAUGAAUUUCCUCUUCUGGAGCUACUGGCAAUGUCUUUGCUAGAGGACGGUUGCUGGGAACCCCAUAGUUCUUCCAUCAUGAGUGGCAACAAAGUUGGACUCUCAGUAGCAAAGAAAGAAUCCACCGCUGGAGUUGGCGAAAGUUGUAGAGGCGGAGAUAAACAUAAAGGUAGUAGAGGUUGAGGCCGUGGAAGCGAUGGAGGCGAUAGAGGAUUUAAUUCAAAUGCUUCCCGAAAAUUAAUUCUUACCAGUGCAUGGAUGGUUGGACACUUUAUGCCCAUGAAGUGUAUUCGAAUUCUAGCUAGCUAUUUUUGUCCAUAGGUAUUCAUCCUAACAAAAACGAACAACUCCAUACAUUGCAGUCGGGGUAUACUUCAACCAAAUCCCACAAUGGACUACUUUUCACUCUCGACAUGUUGAUUAUGAAUCUAUAAAGAGUACAAGGAGAGCAUAAUUAACUAGCAACCACAACAAGUACUAUUUUUUUAUUUUGAAAAAUGGGGGAUUUAGAUUGUGUUAUAAGACUUGGUUCGAACAGAGCUUGCAUGUUAAUUCACGGGUUAGGACCUUGGGGCAUGAAUUGGGCUCUCAACUCAAGCUCAUUUCACAUAAAUCAAGUUUCAUCCAAAAAAAAAAAAAACAAUGAUCUAUUUAUUCUAAACCAAACCUAAUUCCAAAACUAUCCUAAGCUUGUCUUCUAUCAUAUCCAACCCAUUAUUUUUUCUGCCCUUUCUACUUCGUCUUCUUCCCUGGAAGUUCAUUUUCCUUCAAACCUGCCGAAAUUUCUUUCUUCAGCCAUUAACAUUUUCUGCUAAUGUUGACAGUCAACAUCUCCAACCCAACACCUCUACUGAUGCCCAAUAACUGCCACCACCGCACCACCACCGAUAGCUUAUUUCAAUCUCCAUUCAUACUAUCUAAAACAACACUAAAGGCAACUGUCACUGGACUUCACUUUCUUCAACAAUUCUCAUUCUAGCGAAAUCAAAUAAACACGCAUAUGCAUAAUGAAACAAGAAGCUUUCUACAAUUCUUAGCCUAGAUGAGGUAUGUAAUAGCUAUUACUGAACUUCGCUUUCUCCAACAAUCAACGAAAUCAAACAAACACGCAAAUGCAUAAUGACACUUUAACUCGAAAUUCUUCAUUGCAAGUCAACCUUAGUUUCGCAAGAUUUAUCCAAUCUCACUUAUUGAAUUUGAUGCACUACUAAUUCUUGAUAAAAUAGAGAAAAACAUAGUAACGAAGAAGGAGAGAAUACUUGAUUCAAACCGGAUUUACCGACUUCUCCAUUCAAUCGGGAAAAAUUUUGAUGACUGCCGAUAGCCAACAAUGACAAAUUGGAGCAAUUUCAUAAUCAAUCAGUUGAGAAUUUGAGAGGAUUUUUUACCAAGUGACUUCCAUUCUCAACAUUCUCCUCCCAUUUUCCCUCAUUCUUAACCCCAUCUUUAAAAAACAAUAAAUUUUGCUUCUCCUAAAUAGAAUCCGACUAGGUUAGUAAUGUUCUAGAAAUCUCCGAAGUUUUUAGUCACAUGCCUGCGAUGCUGAUUUUCCUCACCUUCACCUAUUCACUAACGUUGUGUUUCGGUUGGCCUUAGGGUGGGUUUGGUUUAACUUUGCAAAUGAGUUUUGGGUGUAAUGCAAAUGUUGAAAGCUAAAACUUUUUUAAGGAAUAUAAAUUGUGUUUGGUGAAAACUCAUUGUAAAGAGACUUUGAGUUCAAUUAGUGUUUGGCAAAAAAAGACUUUGUGCUCUCCUUGUACUUUUUAUUGAUUGAUAAUUAGCAUGCCGAGGGUGAAGAGUAGCCCACUGUGAGAUUUGGUUAAAAUAUACCACGAUUGCAAUUGAGCUAAUUUGUUUUGUUGGGACGGAUAUCUUAUGGACAAAAAUAGUGUGGCUAGAAUUCAAAGACACUUCAUGGGAAUAAAGUGUCCAACCAUCCCUACAUAGAUAAGAAAUAAUUUUUGGUAAGCAUUUGGAUUAAAUCUUCUACCACCUCUCCUGCUUCCACAGCCUCAAUCUCCACUACCUUUGUUUCUACCUCCACCUCCAUUGCCUCUACACUCUGGCCAACUCUAGCAAAUUAAUCGAGAGAAGCACUAGCAAUGGUGGAUUCUUAUUUGCCUUUGAGAGUCAAACUUUAUUACCACAUGUGAUGGAAGAACUAUGGAGUUCCCAUUAGCCAUCCUCCAGUAAAGAUAUUGCUGGCAGCUCUAGAGGAGGAAAUUUGUAAUUCGAUUAGAAAUUCUAAGAAAUGGAUUGGCAGAAGUCAAUGUCACUUGUCAAGAGAAACCGAUGGAUUUAAAUAGGAAAUUAGAGAUGAUAUCACAUGGAUAGUCAACUCUUGAACAGACAAUUGAUGCCAGAGCAUAUCUUUUAAUAGAGAAUAUGAUACAGCGGUAAGACUUCAUUCAAGAACUUCAACAAUAGCUUUUGUACUAAUAUGUCUUUUAUGUGAUUCUUUUUUCCACAUGCAUUGUAACAUCUUGGAGUUAACCCAUUCAAGACUGCAAUGCACCUUUUUUUGGAGGAAACCUAAAUACAAAUUCAUUAUUUAUUCCUUUAUUUUGAUCUUCAAGAUAUUUGUUGUGUUAUCAUUGUUUGCUUUUAAAUAUAUUUCUUUAGUACAUGUUUAGAUCUUCAAAGGUUUACUAGAGCCUAUUGUUGGCCCUGAAGAAUUGCAACAACCGCCUCAACAGAUCACAAUGCUAUUUGAGGUUUGUCAAAAGUAGGGAAAGAAGUUAGAGAUAAGUUAAGAAAAGAAAUGUCCAACUAAUGUAGCUAGUGUUUGUCGUGACCUAACCCCCUUUCAUAGGAGCUGAGAGUUAGGUUUAAGGGCAUUGUCAACUUUGGGCUGACAGUUUUCCAAUGACUCAAGCUCUCUUUAGUUCAUAUCUUGCAUGACGUCGGGUGUUUAAAAUUUUAAAUCAAUUAAGCUUAUGCGAAUUUUUACUAAGCAAUUGCCACUAGCCUUUUUGGGGUCGGCUAGAAAUCUAAUAAGAUAUGAGAGGAUAUUUUAUUAUUUAUGCAACUAGAGAUUAUAGACUUGCGGAAUUGAUUAUGUUAGCCCUAAGACUAAGCCCUUUCGGUAACUAACUUGAUCAUGUUAACUAAUGUGAUGGCAACCUAUCAAAGAAUUUUAACUGUCAUUCUAACCACUCUAGAGCAAGAAAUAACAUCCAAUAUAUUGAAAAAAAAUAACAACUACGUAUAAUCAUAAAGGAAAGCACACAAGCAUACUAACAAUGUCCAUUAAAAAAAAAAUAGUCCAAAACAAAGGACCCCAUUAUAAAGUCCUAGAGGCUUAUCCAAAUUUUGGGCUUUGAUAUUUUAAAAAGUUCUCCAAUUUUUCGAAAAUUUUCUGAUUUUUUCACAAUUUUCUGAAUCUUUAAUGAUUUUACUAAUUUUUAUUAUUAUCUGGAUUUUCUGAUUUUUUAACGAUUUUCCGAAUUUUAUAAAAAAAAUUUAACAAUUUUCUUAAUUUUUACAAAUUUUCUUAUUUUCCAAAAUUUUUAAUGUUUUUUCAAAUUUUUUAAAUUUUUAAUGACUUUAUGAUUUUUUUAACGUUUUUAAUUUUUUAGAAAAUAUUAUUAAAACAGGUGCGGACCGUUUUACUUAAUCUGACCCGUUGACCCGACCCAUCUACCCAGAUCCGACGCGAGCCGGAUUAAAACUGAUGUUUUUAAUAUUUUAAUAUUUUUGAAUUUUUUUUAUUGAUUUUCCUUUUUUAUUCUUUUUAUUUUCUCUUUUGUCUUUUUCCCCUGCACUCUUUUCUUCUCCUCUUUAGUCCUUCUUCUUCCUCUUCCCUCUCUGCACGCCCGAAUCUCUUUUACGCCUGCAACUUCAUAUCCUCUCUCUCUCUAUCUCUCUGUUUUUUUUUUUUUUUUUUGAACCCGUAUAACCUAAAGCCGUGCCAUUCUCCAUUGACACAUAUGCUCACACCACCGCACAACGCCGGCUAUCUAAUCCGAACGGCGUACGGCACUUCUGGCCACUCAUUCCGGCGACCGCCAAACAACGGUGAAAAAAAAAUAUCAAACCGAAGCUGACGCCUGUAAACUCUAACAUUUCUAACGACUAAACAAUCAUAAGCGCAUUUAGAAUGAAGAGCAAAGCAGACUUAAACGACCUUGACCCGUAAGCAACGCCGGUAAGGAAAUCACCGACCGGAAGGAGGGAGGAUCCAUGGCCGACCAACUCGAGCCGUGUUUUUCACCAAAUCACAUGACAAAGCAAAGAAAACACGAAUAUCAGACAUUUUUCAACAACUACGAAAGCAGAUAUAGAACGAUCGUGAGUCGGAAACACGCAUCAACUAUCAGCAUUCUAUGGAACAUUUCAUCGAGCACUUAAUGAGCAGCCUUGUAUUUUUUUUUUUUUUUUCGGUACGAUUUUUAAACCGUUCCUAGCUUAACGAUGAUACGUAUUAGACCUAGAUCACCAUCAUUAACAACAAAACAGCUUCGUCUCGUCACUGUUUACCCCACUCGGCCAAAGAAAACAGAGAGAGAAAAGCAAGGGCUCACUCGAUUUGUUUGGUGGAAUUAAACCUCAAAUCGGCGAUGGCGUGGAGCAGGCUUCUCCUUCUGCCAAUGAUGAACUACAGCUCUCGCCCCAAAGAAGAAUAGUUCGUGGCUCGACCCUCGGUCGGAAACCUUGAAGGUCGGAAACACGAUCGAUGAAGUUUCUUCUUCGAUCCAGACAGGCCCCUUUAAUGAAAAACAGAUUCUCCGAUGGUUGAACGUUGCUCCCCUCUGAACUAGAACCAGAGAACCAUCUAGAAAUCAAUUCCUUCAAUGCUUC
rnacentral:lncRNA from 1 species